CCUGUGACCUGAAGAGCUCAGUGAUGGGUUUUAUAGUCUCCCAGUCGACAAUCCACAUCAUUCUUCUUAUUUGAUAUACAGUUUUCAGUGUUUCAUUCUUUUUUCUGAAUUCCUUCUCUUCCCAGCUGACUUUGUAGGAUCUAAAUGUUUCCUGUUGUGGCAGGUUGGGUUCUCCAGGAAGCAAAUGCUGAGAGGGAGUUGGGAGUGCAAAAGAUUUAUUAAGAAAUAACACCUGUAAAAGAAAAGAGCUGCAGGAUUGGGCAGGGGGACCAGCAGAACAUUAUACACACCUAACAACGUCUCCGCCUGUCUUUUGGGGAACUCCCAAGCAAAAACUGCCCAUUAGAGGAGUCCAUGUUGGGCUAGGCCCUUGUCCCACCACCUUGCCUAGUCAUUGGGUAGGGGCAACCUCAAGAAGAGAAAAACCCAAGGAAAGUGUGACCUGGGCUUGAAAGCUGAAGCAGAGCUCGAAAAAGCUGACAGCAGGAGACCGUCAGCUAAUCACGUGCCAGGCAACUGGAAGUAACAAGAUCAACUCCUGCACCUCCACUGGCCAGUAAGGGAAUAAAAAGAGACCACGAAGACAGAAUUAGAGACACCAGCAUAGGAGAGAUCAACCGUUUUGGAAAACAGCAAGUGGAUAGAGAAGUGACAAUUAAUGUGGCAGAACAGAGAAAGCUGAAGCCCAAGUUCUAGGGUGGGGAAAGGCAGCAGGCUGAUUCCCACUCAACUCUCAUCAGGCUGGGAAGUGAGGCACGUGACCCUCUGCACCAGGAGAGACUGAAAACACAGAACAGCUGUGAGUCCUGCAAAGGCGCAUUUGAGCCCACAGAUCUGCCUCACUCCGUGAAGCCAGGUCCCCACCCCACUGGCACCCUGAAAGAAGACCAGAGUGAAAGGUUAUUCCUGAGUUUAAACUUGACCUCAGGGACACCACAAAAACAUAAAGGCAAAGAGUAAAUUCUGUAGAACUGGAAGCAAGCUGAGGAAGUCAUCCAAAAAGAUAAACGAAAUGCCCUUGAGCAAAGCAAAUUAGAAUAUCAACGUGGAGGUUUGAUAUCCAAUUGGGUGUUUCAAGAAAAACAACGGCAGUGAAGAAGAAAUGAUCAAAUAAUUCUAGCAAACAUUCCACGCCCUGACUGUGCAUUUCCAGAUGGAAACGACCAGAAAUGCCCAGAACAAUGAAUGAAAAAAGACACAUUACCAUUACAGAAACAACAAUUUAAAAACCUUCCUAUAGAAGCACCACACCAGACAGGUUUACCGUCACGUUCUACCAAACAUUCCAGGAACAAGAAAUCCUGACCUUAAAACUAUUGCAGAGUUGGUUUCUUCUGAGGCCUCUCUCCUUAGCCUACAGACAGCUGCCUCCUCCCUGUGUCCUCACGUGGUCGUUCCUCCCCGUUCCGCCCGUGAUGUCCCUAGCUCUCUCUGCAUCCUAAUCUCCUCUCCUUAUAAGGGCUCCAGCUCCAGUCAGAUUGGCUUAGGACCUCCCCUAACGACCUCAUUUUAACUUAAUCACCUCUUUAAAGGCCCUGUCUCCAUAUACAACUACUUUCUGAAGUACUGGGAGUUAAGGCUUGAACAUACGAAUUUGGAGGUGGGAGCACUUCAGCCCAUAACAACAUUCAUAGUUGGCAAUCUAAGAAGAAAAGGGAAUUUCUUCAGAUUGAUGAAGAAUAUCUACCAAAAAA
rnacentral:lncRNA from 1 species